UACCUCGUGCUGCUAAAAAGUUUGGAGCACUGGAUGCUGUCAGCGCAUGGCCAUUCGAGAAUUAUUUGGGGAAAUUAAAGAAACAUGUAAAAUCAGGUAAUAGACCCAUAGUCUCUCUCAAACGAGGAUGUUUAGAAGAGAAGGCCUGCCAUGAGGGUAAGUGCGAUCUGGAGGAAAAAACAGACCAGCACAUUGCCACAAAGAGACCUAAUAACAGUUAUGUCGAUAUGGAUUCGAAAUCCUGUUUCGACAUAGUUAAAGUAGAUCCUGCCGGUAAAAUGGUACAUGCUAUAAAAUACCUUGACCCGAAACCCUUCUUCAAGGAGCCUGUGCCAUCCGAUGUAAUUGGAUGCUUUAAGGUAGUACGGACUAAUGUAUCGUACGUAACAUUAUCAGUUACUUAUGUCAAGACUCUGAGGCGUGCUAUGCGCAUAGACUUAGAAGGGCUUGAGGGCUGGCCAGAUAAAGAUUGUAAAGUUUCAGUAUUUAAUGCAUUGUAUCAUGAGACUUGCAGUUAAAGCAUUCAUUCUUAGUAACGUAUGCAUGCAAAGAUGUAUAUGUUUCUUAGUAUGUAUUGAACCAUCUGAGAUAGAAUAAGUUAACGUGAUUAUAUCAAUGCAUGACCAAAGAAUCUGUUAAGUAUUGAUCCAACAUUGGUGAUUAACCUAUGGGUUACAUAUUCCUUAUAGCGUAACUGAUCCUAAGCAUAUAUCUGUGUUUACAUAUAAUUUCUAUUACAUAUCUGUAGUCUAUUAAAGCAACUGCAGGAAAAUAUGUCAUCCAAGCGGUCCCAAAGAAGUGUCCAGGUGAGAAAACAACUCGAGAAACGACAUCGUACUGACCCACAAUGUUUCAGUUCCGGUGGGAAGGCGAGAUUCGCUGUCUUCGACUUUCUCAGAGACCGGCCUUGGAGCUGCAUGACAGUGCUAUCGAAAUGGAUCGUCCCGAUGUCAUCUCUGACAGCCGCUGAGAAAGAGUUAACUAAAGAUUUCAACAAGGAGGAGGCUGAUGCUCCUUACGUAUGCUGGUAUCCGCCGCCAGAGGAUUCUGAUUACACACGAAUCAGGAAACUCGUCAUAGUGGACAGCAACAGAGGAGAACAUUGGGUCCCUCUACCCGGACGCCUGCGUGGUCGAUACACCACUUAUGAACAGUGCGAAUACCUCGUCGCAAACAUAAUAUUCACAAGUGAUUGUGAACAAGAAGCUACUGCAGAUGAUGGCAAGCGACAUGCAGCUGAUGGCUCUGUCAAGAGAAAAGCACAGUCUACCGUACAGAUCUCAUCAAAUCGAAAGAAAGUUAAGGAAAGGACGCGUGAAGCCGAUACUGAAAAAUCGGCUACGUCAGAAAAGACUGCACGUCCACGUACAAGUGAA